rnacentral:rRNA from 1 species
GGAGGAAGUAGGGGAUCGCAAGACCUUGCGCUUUUGGAGCGGCCGAUGCCUGAUUAGCUUGUUGGUGAGGUAAAAGCUCACCAAGGCUCCGAUCAGUAGCUGGUCUGAGAGGACGACCAGCCACACUGGGACUGAGACACGGCCCAGACUCCUACGGGAGGCAGCAGUGGGGAAUUUUGGACAAUGGGGGCAACCCUGAUCCAGCCAUGCCGCGUGAGUGAAGAAGGCCUUCGGGUUGUAAAGCUCUUUCAGCCGGAACGAAACGGUCACGGUUAAUACCCGUGACUACUGACGGUACCGGAAGAAGAAGCACCGGCUAACUACGUGCCAGCAGCCGCGGUAAUACGUAGGGUGCGAGGGUUAAUCGGAAUUACUGGGCGUAAAGCGUGCGCAGGCGGUUUUGUAAGUCAGAUGUGAAAUCCCCGGGCUUAACCUGGGAACUGCGUUUGAAACUACAAAGCUAG